rnacentral:rRNA from 1 species
AUUGAACGCUGGCGGCAUGCCUUACACAUGCAAGUCGAACGGCAGCAUGGGUGCUUGCACCUGAUGGCGGGUGGCGAACGGGUGAGUAAUGCAUCGGAACGUACCCGGAAGUGGGGGAUAACGUAGCGAAAGUUACGCUAAUACCGCAUAUUCUGUGAGCAGGAAAGAGGGGGAUCGCAAGACCUCUCGCUUUCGGAGCGGCCGAUGUCGGAUUAGCUAGUUGGCGGGGUAAAGGCCCACCAAGGCAACGAUCCGUAGCGGGUCUGAGAGGAUGAGCCGCCACACUGGGACUGAGACACGGCCCAAACUCCUACGGGAGGCAGCAGUGGGGAAUUUUGGACAAUGGGCGCAAGCCUGAUCCAGCCAUGCCGCGUGAGUGAAGGAGGCCUUCGGGUUGUAAAGCUCUUUCGGCCGGGAAGAAAUCGCACAGGUUAAUACCCUGUGUGGAUGACGGUACCGGAAUAAGAAGCACCGGCUAACUACGUGCCAGCCGCCGCCGUAAAAC